rnacentral:rRNA from 1 species
UUUUAACAGCAGUGGGUCAUUUGGCUGAUGGAUCGAUGGAGAACGCAGCUAGCUACGGUAAAUUGUGCAAAUUGCAAAUGUGCUGGGUACAAACAUUUCAAAUACACAUUGAAUCAUGUAUAUAUGUGACGAUUUGAUUUCUAGAAGGAAA